GAUGAACGCUGGCGGCGUGCCUAAUACAUGCAAGUCGAGCGAACAGACGAGGAGCUUGCUCCUCUGACGUUAGCGGCGGACGGGUGAGUAACACGUGGAUAACCUACCUAUAAGACUGGGAUAACUUCGGGAAAACGGAGCUAAUACCGGAUAAUAUAUUUAACCGCAUGGUUCAAUAGUGAAAAAAGGUUUUGCUGUCCCUUAUAGAUGGAUCCGCGCCGCAUUAGCUAGUUGGUAAGGUAACGGCUUACCAAGGCAACGAUGCGUAGCCGACCUGAGAGGGUGAUCGGCCACACUGGAACUGAGACACGGUCCAGACUCCUACGGGAGGCAGCAGUAGGGAAUCUUCCGCAAUGGGCGAAAGCCUGACGGAGCAACGCCGCGUGAGUGAUGAAGGUCUUCGGAUCGUAAAACUCUGUUAUUAGGGAAGAACAAAUGUGUAAGUAACUGUGCACAUCUUGACGGUACCUAAUCAGAAAGCCACGGCUAACUACGUG
rnacentral:rRNA from 1 species